GUGGCUGUAGCUCAAUGGCAGAGCGCCUGACUGUGGAUCAGGUGGUUGUGGGUUCAAGUCCCAUCAGCCACCCCA
rnacentral:tRNA from 2 species